CAGUAGCCGCGGGAAUACGUAGGUGGCAAGCGUUGUCCGGAAUUAUUGGGCGUAAAGGGCUCGUAGGCGGUUUCUUAAGUCUGAUGUGAAAGCCCCCGGCUCAACCGGGGAGGGUCAUUGGAAACUGGGAAACUUGAGUGCAGAAGAGGAGAGUGGAAUUCCACGUGUAGCGGUGAAAUGCGUAGAGAUGUGGAGGAACACCAGUGGCGAAGGCGACUCUCUGGUCUGUAACUGACGCUGAGGAGCGAAAGCGUGGGGAGCGAACAGGAUUAGAUACCCCUGUAGUCCCUGUCUCUUAUAC
rnacentral:rRNA from 1 species